AAAACGACKCUCGGCAACGGAUAUACUCGGCUCUCGCAUCGAUGAAGGAUCGUAGCGAAAUGCGAUACUUGGUGUGAAUUGCAGAAUCCCGUGAACCAUCGAGUCUUUGAACGCAAGUUGCGCCCGAAGCCGUCAGGCGGAGGGCACGUCUGCCUGGGCGUCACGC
rnacentral:rRNA from 1 species